rnacentral:lncRNA from 1 species
GUUGUUAAUUUUAGGCUAGGGAGCUCUAACUCAUUCUUUGUCCUUCUUUUAUGCCUUCUAGUUCUUUCUUCCUUUUUUAUUUUGCUGGUUCUUUCUUUUUAGGUUUUUGUGGUUGUGAUGUGUAGUUUUGUUCGUUUUUGUUAUAUUAAUUGGGUUGCUUUGGUACCUAUUGUGCCUCUUCCAGCCUCCUCUUAUGUACUUUGGUAUUCAUGCCUUUUUA